rnacentral:rRNA from 1 species
CCGUGAUAACGUAGCAUAAUCAUUCGCCACCUAAUUAGUGGAUAGUAUGAAUGGUAAAACGAGUAUAACACUCUCUCAGAAGGAAGUUUUAUGAAAUUGGAGUGGUAGUCAAGAUACUACCUAAAACUGUAAGACGAAAAGACCCUAUAGAGCUUAACUAUACCUUUCUCACAAAAUUAAGUUCACUUAAGUUCCAGAAAGAUUGGUAGUUUAGUUGGGGCGACUGCUUUCUAGUAAAAACGAAAGCAAGCAAUAUUAAUUAUCUAAUUUACUGUCUAAUCCAUACGUUUAACAGUUAUAAAAAUAGGCAAUAAUGACCCGUUAGUAAUAAAAAACACUACUAACGAACAAUAAAUAAAAGCUACCUUAGGGAUAACAGGAUAAUCUUGUUCUAGAGACCUUAUCGAAAACAAGGUUUGUCACCUCUAUGUUGAAUUAAGAUAUCCUAGAAGUGUAGAAGCUUCUGAGG